GGCAGCCCAACACAAGUGGCGUCCUGUGUCUAUGUCACCAUGGCCUGGAUUCCGGUCCUCUUCAUGCUCCUCUCCCAGUAUACAGGUUCCCUGUCCCAGCCAGUGCUGACUCAGCCAUCAUCCCUCUCUGUCUCUCUCAGAAAAACAGCCAGACUCACCUGCACCCUGAGCAGUGGCUUCAGUGUCAGGAGUUAUAACAUAUACUGGUACCAGCAGAAGCCAGGGAGCCCUCCCAGGUAUCUCCUGUGGUUCUACUCAGACUCAGAUAAGCACCAGGGCUCGGGGGUCCCCAGCCGCUUCUCUGGCUCCAAAGAUGCCAAUGCAGGGCUUCUGCUCAUCUCUGGGUUCCAUCCUGAGGACGAGGCUGACUAUUACUGUGCUGUGUACCAUACCAGUGGCAGCAGCCAUUAUUACUCACAAUGUCUCAGACAACAAGGAAGUGAGACAAAAAACCAGAGAUCUUGCCUCUGAGCCUCUUUAAUUGAGAAGCCUCUCUGGAGGCUCCUGUAGGGUAUAGUACUCUGUGGGAAGACCUGUCCUUGAGGAGGAGGGAGUGACACACUGAUUGUGCUGUUGCCUGAGACAGCACAGGUGCCCCAGUAAUGUAGGAAAGAACAUUACCGCUCGAAGCCAAUGACAAUGAAAGAAAUCUUCUUUGGUGCAACAAACAUGGUUUUAUUAAAACACAGGGACAGGACCCAUGAGCAGAAAAGCUGCAGUGGAGACAAACAGAGUGACCCAUUAUAUAUUUUCAACUUGGGAGGGGUUUAGGGAUAGUGUAAGUCUCUAAAUAAUUUUGGAAGUUUUCCAGGACCUUGAGGGGGCUAGCUAUUGUUAGGAAAAUGUGAUUUAUUACUCUCUAAUAAACCCUUAGACAUGAGACCCAUCAGAUAUAUAUCGGUGGACCAUAUGCUUGGGGGAUGAUUGCCAACACAUAUCUUGGGGGUUUUAAAGAUAAACGUAAUUUCUUAAGCACUAUUUAUAAGUUAAAAUAGACUGACAGGAU